AUUGAACGCUGGCGGCAUGCCUUACACAUGCAAGUCGAACGGUAACAGGUCUUCGGAUGCUGACGAGUGGCGAACGGGUGAGUAAUACAUCGGAACGUGCCCAGACGUGGGGGAUAACGAGGCGAAAGCUUUGCUAAUACCGCAUACGAUCUAAGGAUGAAAGCAGGGGACCGCAAGGCCUUGCGCGUUUGGAGCGGCCGAUGGCAGAUUAGGUAGUUGGUGGGAUAAAAGCUUACCAAGCCGACGAUCUGUAGCUGGUCUGAGAGGACGACCAGCCACACUGGGACUGAGACACGGCCCAGACUCCUACGGGAGGCAGCAGUGGGGAAUUUUGGACAAUGGGCGAGAGCCUGAUCCAGCAAUGCCGCGUGCAGGAUGAAGGCCUUCGGGUUGUAAACUGCUUUUGUACGGAACGAAAAGGCUCUGGCUAAUACCUGGGGCACAUGACGGUACCGUAAGAAUAAGCACCGGCUAACUACGUGCCAGCCGCCGCCGUAAAAC
rnacentral:rRNA from 1 species